rnacentral:tRNA from 1 species
UGGCAUGUAGUUCAGCGGUAGAACGCUUGGCUGUUAACCAAGUUGUCGCAGGUUCGAUCCCUGCCGUGCCAG